rnacentral:rRNA from 1 species
UUUGACCUCAAAUCAGGUAGGACUACCCGCUGAACUUAAGCAUAUCAAUAAGCGGAGGAAAAGAAACCAACAGGGAUUGCCUCAGUAGCGGCGAGUGAAGCGGCAAAAGCUCAAAUUUGAAAUCUGGCGUCUUUGGCGUCCGAGUUGUAAUUUGAAGAAGGUAUCUUUGGGCCCGGCUCUUGUCUAUGUUCCUUGGAACAGGACGUCACAGAGGGUGAGAAUCCCGUGCGAUGAGAUGACCCGGGUCUGUGUAAAGUUCCUUCGACGAGUCGAGUUGUUU